GGAACCAUAUCAGAUUUUUAAGGCAAAAAACCCUAGCUAUCUCUCACUUCUGAUCUCUCUAAACUUAGAGAGAUCACCCGCAUUCUCUAAAAUUGGAGACUCUUAUUUCUCUCUAUCUCACGCCUGUCAACCCCCCCUCCCUUUCUCGCCGGCCAACCGUCGGAUUUGACUACCGGUGGGUCUGGUCGGCCACCACUGCUACCACCUCACCUCCCUGCUCACAUCUCUCUCACUUCUCUCUCUGUUGCGACGAACUCACUGAAAAUCGGUGAACUUGCACAUGGCAUUUCAGAUCUAACAAGAUCUGGCUAUAAUUGAUGUUAAAUCUGGCGACCUCUAUGAAACUAACACCGCUUGACCGAAGAACAUUUUUUGAUAAUCUUUUGAAUGUUGAGGCGUCGUUCCGAUACUUUUGCCGUUGAAGCGGCGUCAUUGACUCUAGAACUCUCUAGAUCUGGCCAUUUGUCCAUUUUAUGCUAGUUGCCUGAAUUUUAGUUACCAGAACCUUGUUUUCAGUGACCCUCACAUUUUUCGGCGAGCUUCACCAGCGGACGACGCCAUUGUUUCUUUUGGUACUAUUCGGGUGUUUGUUUUCCCUAUUGUUAUGGUCGAUGGCUCCUGUCUCGGUAUUAUUGGACUUCGUCCCUAUGAUGUUGGUUUUUAUGUUGGUUGGACUCUUGAUUUUUUUCGGCAAUCUCUUUGGUCGCUAUUUUGUGUUAUUGUUUAUGUUCAUGGAUGUUAAUGUUUUAAUUCUUUUGGUUGACUUAUCUUUAUGGUGAUGGAUGUUGUCGGCUUUAACUCCACUGUGGCUCCCUCUACUAGCCGAAAAUUCGUUGAUGAUUUUAAGACUAUUUGCCUCUUUAAUAAUAGUAUCUUUGUUUAGGCUCAGUUAUUUCUUGUCCACGUUGUCGAUGCUGUUGUGCGGAUGCUUUAACAGUAUUCAUGUCGUGGAUUUUGUUGUGAUAUGCUCGAUGGGAAUACUUUUUAGAGGUACGAUGCCCCGAAUGACUCUCAGAUUUGGCCUGAAAUAACGAGCCGAUGGUGAUAAACAUCGAAAAGGAAAAAGAUGAGAAUUUGACGAACCAAUAGCCCUUCGAAAAUACGACACAAUUAGCUAUCUAGUCGCAACCAAGGCGGUUAUCGUUAUCAUGUCUAGUCGGAUAUUACAUAUAUCUGAGCCUCCUAUAUUAUUUUUCUAAACUAUUUUCCAAUAAAUAAACAAUUUUCCAAAAGCAUUUUCAAACUAUUUUCAAAAACAAUCUUUCAAAAAUAUUUUCAAAUAAAAUCAUUUCAAAAUAAAUUAGUUUAUUAUUUACUUUAUAUUUUACUAAUAAUUUCCCUUCUUUUGUCUUGCGAGGUACUAUCACACGAGGUUGCUUUCGGAAGAUGAUACCCGAAGACGAAAAGACAAAUCCCCGUCAAGCCUCCCAUUUCGUAACUUCCCUUCUUAGAUGUACAAAACGCAAGUACAGUGAAACCGUAGAUAGAUAUCAUAUUUGCUAGUUUACUUGAUGUUUACAUAUUUGCCAACACUUCGGUUGUGUUGCAUCUAGUUAAUAAUCCGGUCAACUUAAGAUAUUAUGUGCUAGAUAAUUUUGCGAAACUUGUACGCAGAUUUAGUAUGUCAGAUAUAUUUAUAACUCAUUUGAUUAAUUAGGAUUAGUGUACACCUAGUUAAUUAAUUGAGUUAAUAAAAUGAAAGGCGUGUCAUUUCCUUGUCAAAAUAGGCGACUUUACCUCUUUACAACUGCAUUAACAUGAUCUUUCUUUUAACCAAUCUCUUUGUAAAUUAUUUUUGACUAUCUUACUUCAAAUAGACAUAACUUGUAAAAGCAUAAAUGAGUCUACCAUAUGUAGGAUUAAUUCAACUAUUGCAUACACAUGGGUCUAACUUGAUGACAAUGUUCUUUAUGGGCUUUUAUGAUAUUUUGUACAGGGUUGGUAAUACUCUUAGCCUCUUUAUAUAUUUGUUAUCUACAUAUGCAUUUUAUAUUUACUUAUCUGUUCAUUCAAUUCUUUUGAACCAAGCUCUAGUUGCUUUCUUGUAUGGUCUUAAUUUUCUUUUGUUAUAAAAAUCAAUAUUCCUUUAUACUCAUACACUCUUGACAAAACGUUUUACGUUUUAUUCUUUAUAUAUUUAGUCAAGUAUUUUAGUCAAGUAUUUUAGUCAAUUACAAAACACUUACUCAUUUUUGAAGAUAAUUUUCUCCAUUAUUUAUUUAUUUUUUACAGAUUUUCUUGUAUAUUUAAUACAACUCAUUGUAGUAAUUAUUUGACUUUAAUCAUAAAAUAACUUCUUCAAGUUUAUUCAAACUCUUUUAGAACGUUUCACUUGUUGAUAUACAUUACUUAUAUUUGAUUUAAUUACUCCAUUGUUAUAUGUAAGAUUUAUGUGGAUAAUUUCCUUUUUAUACUCCCCUAUUCAUGACAACUUUCCCUACUUUAGUCGAUCAUUUCUUUAAGCUAAUUGCUAAUUGUUUUAUUUAAAAUAAUUCUUUACCAUUUUAUUAUAUGCGUUCAAUUAAGAUCAAUCUUGUACAGUCAAAUCACUCGACGUUAAUUGUAAAUUGGGAUCUCCUUUAUACCUUAUUUAGAACCCAAUUCUUUCUAUCGAACUCCGAAAACGAUUUUUUUUUGUUCAUUAAUUUACUUUGCAUAUCUUACUGUAUAUAUUUUACCACAAAUGAAAUGAUCAUACUUUGAAUAUUUAUCCACCUCAUGACAUUGCAUUGGCUACUCUUUGAUAGGAAUUCUUUUUGAAAUAACUAAUCAUUCUUUUCAACCUUCCCUCCCUUAUUUGAUCGAGUCAACCAGAACUAUAUUUUUGUGGAUAUUGAGGGAUGCCUAACAACUUUCCCUCGAGAUAACUUGAACCCUUACCUAUAAUCUCAACAGUUUCGCAGAGUACUAUAAGUUGUAAUUUAUUUCGUCUUGUGUAAAAUAGGGUGCAACAACAUGGCGACUCUACUGGGGAUACUUCAGUUUCUAAUCACAGCGGACUUGAUCAAUUACUUGAGGGAUUACAGGUUCUCUGAUACUCCAACUUCUAUUCUUUCUGUCACAUGCUUCAACUCAUAUAUUCACUGCUUCAAGUUUUAUACUCUUUGUUUCAAGCUGUAUAUUCAUUGCUUUAAGUUGCAUAUUCUUUGUUUCAAGUUGUAUAUUCUUCAUCGCAUGCUUAAAGUAGUCUAUUCUUUGUCAUCCGCUUCAAGCAGUAUAUUUUGUUAUGCGCUUCAAGCGGUAUAUUAUUGUUAUGCGCUUCAAGCAGUAUAUUCUUGUUGUGCAUUUCAAGCGGUAUAUUCUUUGUCAUAUGCUUUAAGUGGUAUAUUCUCUGUCAUCUGUAUCAGGCGGCGUAUUCUCUGUCAUGCUCAUGUUGUAUAUGCUCCCCACAUAUCUAAGUUGUAUAUUCUUGUUUAUCCUAAAAAAUGGAGAAAAAUUAAAUUUAUUAGUGGUUUUAAGGAUACGUGGAUUUAUUCAAUACAAACGGUAAAGAAUGCUAGAAUAAACAGAUAAGAGAUGUAAUAAAUUAUCAUACCUCUUGAAAAUAAAGGGGGGUGAUUCUGGACUCGAGGGCAACCUCAAUGAAUAAUCAGACCCCCCUUUAUAUAGUAAGGGAGUCCUACUCUAGGUACAAUUCUAUAAAAGGCAAAAAAUCUUCCGUUUAACUAAUCAUCGAAUUUCCGCCGGUACGUGCCAAGAUCCACGUCGCGAUACCCAGCUGGUCAGGGAUAUCACGACCUCCCGUUAAUCAUGUUCGGUUGCCCAAUAAUGCUCUCUGAAUUCUUUUAAGAUUUGGACCGAUACCAGGGUCACGGCCCCGAUAUUCUUGAGGGCGGGCAUCGUGCUCCCAGAACCUGUGUCAAUGAGUCCCUUACCUCGAUUUCGGCUCCUUGUCAUCACGUCCCUUACUCAAUUUAUUUUAUCAAAAAUCGGGCUGUUUUAUGAGUCCGAUUUCACCCGUAUACAGAUAGUCCCCUCGUUUCUCGGAGAGUAAGUUUUACGGAAACGACGAGGAAUGACAUGAGUUCUUCGAUCUCUUCUCCAACACGCUGCGACACGAAAUGAUAAAGAAACCGCAAUGUCCCAUCAGAAGCGUCAUAAUGACCCCCAACGCGUAUCAGUCGUCAGCAGGCCACUCCUGGAUGUGAAACAGCGCGAAUCCCCUAUAAAUACCUCUUCUUUCAUUCAUCUUUUACUUUUGACCAAGCUUCUACCUUCGAUCCUUCAAGAUAUCAUUGCCUUCCUUCAUUCUUCAAUAUUCUUACCUUCGUUCUUCAAAUUGCAACCUUUCUUUUACCCCUCACUUAAGCCAGUGUUCUUGAUUUUCUUAGCAAGUUCUCACCCUUCAUCUUCUCAUUCUCCUUCAUACCUUCAAACCUUUUUAUCAAGAUAAAAAAAAUGGCAAAGAUUUCCAAGACCGUUCCCCAGAAAGAUUCUCCUUCUUCUACGCAGCCGACCACUGAGGUCAAGGAGACCCCGCUCCUGAUGUGGUCAUCCUCGAGAGGUCCGCUCCGAGCGUGGCCACUGAUGAAUCGGUAGCUGAGCCCCUCUUGAAAAUGUUUGGGGGGGGGGGUGUUCGGUUAAUGAUGAAUUUAAGGUCGAAAAGCCCUCUUCGAUUCAAGGCCGAUGCGAGGUGGUGUCACUGUACAUCUGCUCCAUUACUAAGGCCGUUCUUCCUGCAGUUCAAAAAGACUGUGACUGGGUGGAUAAGGAUGUAGUGAUUCUCGGGCCCGAUGACGAUAUCACUACCCAUGUUGAAGGAUAUAUGAGUAUUUACACUUAUCUCUUUUACAUUGGGCCCGGUGUACCCGGUCAUCUUGGACUUUUGUAGGAGGUACGACGUAUGCAUCUGCCAAAUCCACCCAUCGCUGUGGAGGAUUGUGAUCCUCCUCUGAUUCUUUGUGAACAAAAUCGAUUCAUGUACUGUUCACCAUCGAUCAUCUACUCUGCUUGUACAGUCCCCGAAUCUUACGGGAGGGAAUGAUAAAGCUUGUACGCUGGGCCAGCAAAGCCCCAUUUUCAAGUAUCGACGAGGACCAGAAUUGGGGUUGGCAAGGAUGCUUUAUCCAGGUGAGGACCUCCGACCUGAUACCUGCCCAGUGGAGGCCACUCCCCGAGAAGUACAACGUAUCACGUAACUAUAACUCUUAUAAAACAUUGAUUUUAUGUUUUAUCUUCACUUUUCUAAUUGGUGUUUGUUGUGGAGCAACCCUCGCUCGAGUCCUAAAUGCCAUUACUCGGCUCAAGGAGUGGAUCAGAGGCAUUUGUUCGCAGAUUCCUUAUGCCGAAUGCUCAUGGCACGAGCUCUCGAAGAGCCGCUGGGAGGCCCAUUCUCACGGUAAGAUUCUACUCUCCGAGUAAGUAGCACUAGACUUUCUUUUUCAAUACUAUGUCCUCAUUGCUUCUCUUCUUUUUUGCAGGCUUGCCUAAGACCAUCGAGCUUAGGCCCUUGGUAAGAGGUGAGUACCUGCCCGAUGAUCGUUCUGCUUCGGGGCAGCCCAGAGCCAUAGCAGGAGAGAAGAAAAGGAGGAGGGCCCCGAGUUCCCCUAGCUCAAAGAAGAAGAAACCAAGGAGAAGGUUGGCUCGUAAGCCAAAGGAAAGGUCCAGCUCCCGAGUGCCUGAUUCAAACUCACUCUUCUGGUUCAGGGACGAGCCCGAGGAGGACUAUCUUUUGUGGCCCGCGAGCCGUCCGUUCCCGAGGAACAGAUGGCAACCAAGGGGGAAACAAUGGAGGCUAAUCCCCCUCAAGUUCAUGAGGCUGGUACAUAGGCGAGGGUCGAGACCUCUCGAAUCGUGGGCUUCGCCCAGUGUUAUAGAAAUUUUAGGAUCGCUCUCAUUCACAGAACCCAUGUUCGAUGAAGCCCGAGUGAUGAAGGAGCAAUCCAAUGAAGUGGCUCAUGGAGCGGACGAUCCCCUUUGAUGCUUCUUUGAUGGUAUAGACUCAACCGCCCUAGAAGACUUCUUCGGGUUGAUGAAUGCACAGUCUUUCGCUCAGUCUUUGAUGAGUGCACAGCCAUCUGGGCCCAGUCAGGGCAACAGGGGACCCCACCAACAUGGUCGACCUGGAGGGAGAUUCCAGCACUAGCGGAGGCCCCCAUGCCCUAAAUGUGGAAGGAUGAAUUUUGGGGUCUGCCUCAUGGACCUACAUAUAUGCUACGGGUGCGAUAUGAGGGGUCACAUUCAGAGGGACCGUUGCUCGUCCCGCCGGAUCAUGGGAAAAGGUGCGGCGCAACCAGCUAGUUCUGCAGCUACUACAUCCACAACACAUCCUUCAGCUCGAGGCACCCCAGCACCCGCAGGGCAUGGUGCAGCUAGAGGUGAUGCACAGAGUUCGGGAGGACCCAACAAAUUUUAUGCUAUGCGGAGGCGUCGAGAUUCAGAGGCUUCUCCAGAUGUUGUCACAGAUAUAUUGAUUGUCCAAUCCCAUGAUGUAUAUGCUCUUAUUGAUCUCGGUUCCACGUUGUCCUAUGUCACUCCUUAUGUCGCUAUGAAAUAUAGGAGAUGUCUUUGGGUGCUGCUAAAGAAAGUGUCUAAACACAUUCAGGGACCAUGGUUGGUCACCGAGGACUUCAGCUUCAUGAGCCGUUCUCUGUAUCUACUCCGGUUAGCGAGUCUAUUGUGGCUGCGAGGGUUUAUAGGGAUUAUGUUGUCACACUGCAUGUUUGGGACACCCUGGCCGAUCUCAUUGAAUUGGGGAUGGUUGAUUUUGAUGUAAUAAUGGGGAUAGACUGGCUUUAUUCAUAUUUUGCUAAGCUUGAUUGUCGAACCAGGACUGUUAGGUUUGAAUUUCCAAAUGAGUCGGUGAUUGAAUGGAAGGGGGAUGAUGUGGUAUCGAAGGGUAGGUUUAUUUCUUACCUUAAGGCCACGAAGAUGAUUAAAAAGGGGUGUAUCUACCAUUUGGUUCGGGUUACGGACAUCGAUGUUGAGGUACCUACACUUGAGUCCGUGCCUGUUAUGGGUGAAUUUCCGUAGGUCUUUCCGUAUGAGCUCCCUGGGAUCCCACCAAACAGGGAGAUUAAUUUUGGGAUUGAUGUGAUGUCGGGCACGCAGCCUAUAUCUAUUCCACCCUACAGAAUGUCACUAGCAUAAUUGAAUGAGCUAAAAGAACAAUUGAAGGAUUUGUUAGAGAAGGGUUUCAUCCGGUCGAGUUUGUCGCCUUAGAGUGCACCGGUCCUCUUUGUAAGAAUGAAAGAUAGGUCAUUAAGGAUGUGUAUUGACUUUCGGCAGCUCAACAAGGUCACGAUCAAGAAUAAGUACCUACUGCCAAGGAUAGAUGAUUUGUUUGACCAAUUGCAGGGUGCUAAGUAUUUCUUCAAGAUUGAUUUAAGAUCCGGGUAUCACCAACUGAAGAUCAGGGAGCAGGAUAUUCCGAGAACAGCUUCCAGGACCCGGUAUGGGCACUUUGAAUUUCUGGUAAUGUCUUUUGGGCUACCAAAUUCCCCGACAACUUUCAUGGACCUUAUGAAUCGAGUCUUAAAGCCUUUUCUUGACUCCUUUGUGAUAGUGUCCAUUGACAAUAUUCUGGUAUAUUCAUGAAGUCGAGAGGACCAUGUCGAUCAUCUCAGGGCAGUUCUACAGACUAUAUAUCUACACAAGUUGUAUACGAAAUUUUUUGAAAUGUGAAUUUUGGCUUGAAUCUGUUACAUUCUUGGGUCAUGUCGUCUCCAGAGAAGGAUAUAAGGUUGAUCCUAAAAAGAUUGCAGUUGUGAAGAAUUGUCCUAGACCUACAACUCCAAUAGAGAUUCGCAGUUUCUUGGGCUUAGCCGGUUAUUAUAGGAAAUUUAUGGAGGGGUUCUCCACUCUUGCCUCUCUGUUGACUAAAUUGACGUAGAAGGCGAUUAUGUUCCAAUAGCCAGAUGCUUGUGAAAAGAGCUUCCAAGAGUUGAAAUCAAGAUUAACUACGACACCGGUGUUGACCCUACCAGAGGGUACGUAUGGGUUUGUGGUAUAUUGUGAUGCUUCAAGAAUCGGACUUGGGUGUGUAUUAAUGCAACAUGGCAAGGUGAUAGCUUAUGCUUCUAGGCAACUCAAGAAUCAUGAAAACAACUAUCCAACACAUGACUUAGAGCUUGCGGCGGUGGUAUUUUCAUUUAAGAUUUGGCGUCAUUAUCUAUGCGGGGUCCAUGUGGAUAUAUUCACGGACCAUAAGAGCCUCCAAUACAUUUUCAAAUAGAAUGAAUUGAAUCUAAGUCAUAGAAAAUGGCUUGAGUUACUCAAGGAUUACGACAUCGAUAUUUUGUAUCAUCCGGGGAAGGCUAAUGUUGUAGUGGAUGAUCUUAGUGGGAAAUCUAUGGGCAGUUUGGCUCAAUUGGAGGCAUAUCAAAGGCCGUUGGAGAAGGAGGUUCAUCGGUUGUCUAGUUUUUGAGUUCGUCAUGCAGAUUCUAGUGAAGUAGGAGUGAUUGUGCAAAAUAGGGUUGAAUCAUCACUUGUUGUGGAAGUCAAGGAAAAGCAGUACAGUGACCCAUUGUUGGUACAGUUGAAGGAGAGGAUUCAUAAACAUAAGACCAUGGCCUUUUCUCUUGGCAUGGAUGAUGGUACACUAAGGUACCAAGGGCAACUAUGUGUUCCAAAUGUGGAUGAUCUCCGGGAAAGAAUCAUGAUCGAGGCUCACACUUCUAGGUAUUCGGUGCACUCGGGCUCUACAAAGAUGUAUCAUGAUCUUAAAGAAGUCUACUAGUGGAAUGAUAUGAAGAGGAUUGUAGCGGACUUUGUGGUGAGAUGCCCAAAUUGUCAACAAGUAAAGGCCGAACACCAACGGCCUGGUGGGUUGGCACAGAACAUAGAAAUUCCAAUGUGGAAGUGGGAAAUGAUCGAUAUGGACUUUGUGGUGGGACUACCUCGCGCGCCUCGUAAGUAUGACUCGAUUUGGGUGAUUAUGGAUUGACUCAUGAAAUCAGCUCACUUCUUACCUAUUAAGGCUACCGACACAGCAAACAGUAUGCUCAGAUGUAUAUCGAGAAAAUAGUCAGGUUGCAUGGCACUCCAGUUUCUAUUAUCUCGGAUCAAGGGGCAUAGUUCACAACUAACUUUUGGAAGAAAUUUCCGCAAGGUUUGGGUACUCAGGUGAAUUUUAGUAGAGCCUUUCACCCACAGACUGGCGGGCAGGCAGAGCGGACUAUUCAGAUGCUUGAGGAUAUAUUGCGCGCUUGUGUUCUUGACUUCAAGGGUACCUGGGAUGAUCAUUUGCCACUCGUAGAAUUUGCCUACAACAACAGNNNNNNNNNNNNNNNNNNNNNNNNNNNNNNNNNNNNNNNNNNNNNNNNNNNNNNNNNNNNNNNNNNNNNNNNNNNNNNNNNNNNNNNNNNNNNNNNNNNNNNNNNNNNNNNNNNNNNNNNNNNNNNNNNNNAGGUCUCCCAUUGGGUGGGGAUAAUUUUGGUAUGGUUGGACUCCUAACGGAAUAGGUGUUUGGAAUUUGUGAGUUUGGUCGGGUUCUAAGGUUGUCACGACCCCAAUUUCCCCACCUUAGGAUCUCGUGAUGGAACCUAGUCUCUAAGACUAGGUAAGCCUAACAUUCAUUGAUAGCUUAGCAAGAUUUAACAACUAAGAUAAUAAGAUAAUUCGUUAAAACUCAUAAUAACUCAAAACGGAACAUCUAUAACAUAAUUCCCAAAACCGAUGGAACUGAGUCAUAAGCCUUACGAAAUAAUCUAAGAAUCUCUAAUACAACAUUGUCUCAAUAGAAGAUAAAUAGUAGUAAAAGUAAUGACUGAAGGUGACUCCGAGGCCUGCAAACGCCAAGCAGGUAUACCUUGAAGUCUCCGAAAUGUAUGGUCAAAUCACUAAUGCCUAGCCCGAGCUGAGUACACCACAAUGGUACUCAGUAUGUAUCAAACCUAACCUCGAUAUAUUAGUGAUGAGUUCAGGUCAAGACACCUACUUGGAUAAGAGAAACUGAACAAGGUAUAGUAUAGGCAAAUAAUGGAAGACGAGGAAAUAAAUGACUAUAAAGCAGUUCAAUAAAGUAAGCUAACAAUGGAAUUUAAAACAAUAAAGGCAACAAGGAGUGAACACAUGGUAAGAACAUCAAGAAUCAAUACGGACGAGUACAAGUAGGGAAAAUAAAGAGAUAACAAAACUGUUCAACCAACACGCCUCUUUAACAUAGAAUGUACAAUAAGAAUCACAACUGAGGUACCGCCUCAUAUCCACUUUUCACAAUUCAAAAUCACAACAUUUCCUUAUACCGCCGCGUGAGCCUUACAUUAAGAUAUUUUGAAAAGAUUUUUUCCGAAAUAGCUACACGCACUUUAGCCCUUUUAUGUCGCCGGGUGACUUCAAGUAAUUUCCUUACUAGCAACUUGCACAUAAAUUCCCUCCUUAUGUCGCGCACGCACAUUAACCCCUAUCCUUAUACCGCCGCAUGCGCAUCAAUAUCACAACACAAUAACAACUCACACCACAAGUGCCCAUAUGCCACAACUUGCCAAAAUCAACAAUACCAAAGUUACCACAACGUAUAGCCCAGGGCUCAAUCACAAUGUGAACAAGAAUCUCCAUAAUAACAAAGUGAGUGAGAAUUUCUCAACAAGGAAAGACAUCUCAAUAAUCAACAACUUCAAACAAGAAUAACCCGGCACUAAAGGAGGUGACAUAACAAUAAGAGAGAUAGCAAAGGCAACUAAGGCAUAUAAGAGCAUGUUUGACAAUAAGAGAUAGAGUAGGUGAUACAACAUCAAGUAAAGCAUGUAAGAAAAAUUUAACAAUGGAAGAUCUAACAUGAUAUUUCAACUUCUAAUUAGAUACAUCAAAGAGUCUAAGAGUCUAAACCGGUCAAAAUACCCCAUAUAAGCCUGUGUACAUACUUGUCACCUCGUGCACACGUCUUUCACAUAACCCAAAUAACGUAAAUCAACCCAAGUCCUAAGGAGUAGUUCGCCCACAAAAAGUUAGGCAAGAUACUUACCUCAAACAAGCUAAAUCAACCCACUAGUAAGCCUUUUUCGUGCAAAUUCAACUUCGGAUGGCUCGAAUCUAGCCAAAAUAACUUAAUACCAUAAAUACAAACUAUAGAAAAUGAUUUCGGAUAACAAAGUUGCAAUCUUUAAAGAAAAUCAUAAGGUCAACUCAAAAGGUCAACCCCGGGCUUGCACCUCGGAACCUGACCAAACUUACAAAAUCUGAAUACCCAUUCUGAUACGAGUCCAACCAUACAAAAAUUACCCAAUUCCGACCUCAAAUCGACCUUCAAAUCCUCAAUUUAUAGUUUAAGACAGUUUUCACAAAAUCCCCAAUUUCUCCAACUCAAAUCACUAAUUAAAUGAUAAAAACAAUGAUGGAAUCAUGAAUAAUAAGCAAAUCCGAGCACAAAAAAAACACUUACCCCGAUCCAAUCCUUGAAAAUCCACUCCAAAUUCGCCCAAAACCGAGCUCUCUAACUCAAAAUAUGAAAAAUGGAAUAAACCCUCGAUUCACUCUUAUUUCUGCCCAGGCUUUCUGCACCUGCGGCAAUUCUGUCGCAUUUGCGACUCCGUAUCUGCAGAAAAUCCAUCACAGAUGCGGCUUCCACUAAAGGUCAGAAACUCCGCAUGCGCGCCCGCUCUUGUGCAACAGUCACCGCAGAUAUAAGUGCGCAGAUGUGCAACCGCAGAAGCAGGAAAAGCUCUUCCAAACAUACUAUCAAGUCCCAAAAUACUACACGAACCUACUCGAGGCCUUAAAUCACAUCAAACAAUAUCAAAUCCACGAAUCACACCCCAAUUUAAGCCUAUUGAAUUAAUUAACAUUCAACUUUUAAAACUAAUGUCGAAUCAUAUCAAACCAACUCUAAAUGAGCUCAAAUUUUGAAUGCAAGUCCCUAAUGACACAACAGAUAUAUACCAACUCCUGAAAUCACAAUCCGGACCUGAUAUCAAUAAAGUCAAUCCCUCGGUCAAACCUAUCAACCUUCAACUUUCUAUCUUUUGCCAAAAAGCACCAAUUCAACCUACGCAACUCCAAAUCAACUUCUGGACAUACACCGAAAUCCAAAAUCACCAUACAAAGCUAUCAGAACCAUCAAAAUUCCAUUCUGGAGUCGUCUACACAAAAGUCAAACUCCGAUCAACUCUUCCAACUUAAGCUUCAAACCUUGGGACUAAGUGUCCCAAUUCACUCCGAAACUCACCCGAAACCAAACCAACCACUCCGGAAAGUCACAUAGCCACAAUUGAACUAGAGGAGGCAAUAAAUAGUGGAACGGGGCUAAAAUACUCAAAAUGACCGAUCGGGUUGUUACAUUAUCCCCCUCUUAAAACAAACGUCCAUCCUCGAACGAGUAUAGAGACAUACCUGAAGUGUUAGAAGGUGAGGAUAACGGAUACAGAUAUCAUGCUUGGUCUCCCAAGUCACCUCCUCAACUGGUUGACCCCUCCAUUGAACCUUCACUGAAGCAAUGUUCUUUGACCUCAACUUUCGGACCUGUCUGUCCAAGAUGGCCACUAGCUCCUCAAAAUAAGUCAAAUCCUUGUCCAAUUGGACUGAGCUGAAAUCUAACACAUGGGAUGGCUUUCCGGAGCAUGGAAACAUGGAACACCAGGUGAACUGCCGAUAAGCUGGGUGGAAAUGCAAGCUUGUAGGCCAUCUCCCCCACUCCCUCAAGGAUCUCAAAAUGACCAAUAUACCUAGGGCUCAACUUGCCCUUCUUCCAGAAUCUCAUCACACCCUUCAUGGGUGAAACCCACAGCAAAACUCUCUCCUACCAAAAAUGCUACACCACAAACCUUCUGGUCGGCAUAACUCUUUUAUCUAGACUGUGCUUUACGAAGCUUGUCCUGAAUCAACUUGACCUUCUCCAAGGCAUCCCGAACAAGAUCAGUACCCAACAACCUAGCCUCCUCCGGCUCAAACCAACCAACUUGAGAACGACACUGCCUCCCAUAUAAGGCCUCAUAAGGAGCCGUCUGAAUACUGGAUUGUUAGUCGUUGUUGUAGGAAAACUAUACAAGCGGAAAGAAUUGAUCCCAUGAACCCCCAAAAUCAAUAACACAGGCACGUAGCAUAUCCUCUAAGAUCUGAAUGGUGCGCUCAUACUGCCCGUCCAUUUGGGGCUAAAUGUUGUACUCAACUCGAUCCGUAUGACUAACCCACGCUGCAUAGCUCUCCAAAAAUGCAAUGUGAAAUGCGUGCCUUGAUCAUAGAUAAUGGACACCGGCACACCAUGAAGACGAAAAAUCUUACAAAUAUAGAUCUGAGCCAGCUGCUCUGAAGAAUAGGUAGUCACCAACAGAAUAAAAUGUGUCGUUUGGUCAACCUAUCCACAAUAACUCACACUGUGUCAAAUUUCUUCAAGGUCAAGCCCAACAACGAAAUCCAUGGUAAUACUCUCCCACAUUCACUAGGGAAUCUCAAGUCUCUGAAGAAAUCCACUCGGCCUCUGAUGCUCGUACAUCACCUGCUGACAAUUCAAGCACCAACCCACAUACUUCACAUUAUCUUUAUUCAUUCUUCUCUAACAAUAAUGCUGCCUCAAAUCUUGAUAGAUCUUAGCGGCACUCGGAUGAAUAGAGUACCGCGAACUGUGGGCCUCCUCAAGAAUCAACUCACGCAACCCAUCCAUAUUGGGCACACAUAACCGACCCUGCAUCCUCAACACCCCAUUAUCUCUGAUAAAAACCUCCUUGGCAUUGCCAUGUUGUACCGUGUCCUUAAGGACAAGCAAAUGGGGGUCAUCAUAGUAAUUAUCUCUGAUGCGCUCAAAUAAAGAAGACCGAGAAACCACGCAAGCAAGAACCCUACUAGGCUCCAAAAUAUCUAAUCUCACAAACUGAUUGGCCAACGCCUGAAUAUCCAAUGCUAGCGACCUCUCACCAACUGAAAUAUAUGCAAGGCUACCCAUACUCUCAGCCUUUCUACUCAAGGCAUCAGCUACUAUAUUGGCCUUCCUAGGAUGGUAUAGAAUAGUGAUAUCAUAGUCUUUCAACAGCUUUAACCACCUCCGUUGCCUCAAGUUCAGGCCCUUUUGCUUAAACAAGUACUGUAGACUCCGAUGAUCUGUGAAUACCUCGCAAGACACGCCGCCUCCAAAUAUUCAAUGCGUGAACUAAAGCUGCCAACUCUAGAUCAUAAACGGGGUAGAUCUUCUCAUGGGACUUCAACUGGUGCGAAGCAUAAGCAAUCGCCCUAUACUCCUGCAUUAAGACUCACCCAAUACCAAUCCGCGAUGCAUCACAAUAAACCAUAUAUGAACCCGAUGCUGAGGGCAAAACUAGAACUAGAGCUAUGUUCAAGGAAGUCUUGAACUUCUGAAAGAUCUCCUCACACUUGUCAAACCACUGGAAUUGAGCACCCUUCUGGGUCAAUCUAGUCAAAGGUGCAGCAAUAGACGAUAGACCCUCUACAAAACAGCGAUAAUAUCCAGCCAAACUAAGGAAUCUCCGAAUCUCAGUAGCUGAAGACGGUCUAGGCCAACUCUGAACUGCCUCAAUAUUCUUCGGAUCUACCUUGAUCCCCUCGCUCGACACCACAUGACCCAAAAAUGCCACCGAAUCAAGCCAGAAUUCACACUUUGAGAACUUUGCAUACAACUUCUUCUCCCUCACAGUCUGGAGCACGAUCCUCAAAUGUUGCUCAUGAUCUUCCCGGUCGCGGGAAUACACCUAGAUGACGUCAAUGAAUACAAUAACAAAAGAGUCAAGAUAUGACUGGAAUACACUAUUCAUCAUGUGCAUAAAUACUGCUAGGGCAUUGGUCAUGUCACCCCCCGACCUCGGGGAGCGCGACUGGCACUCAACCGAGAUAACCCGGCCGAGCAAGCGUACUAGAUUGCCUUCUACCCAAAUCANNNNNNNNNNNNNNNNNNNNNNNNNNNNNNNNNNNNNNNNNNNNNNNNNNNNNNNNNNNNNNNNNNNNNNNNNNNNNNNNNNNNNNNNNNNNNNNNNNNNNNNNNNNNNNNNNNNNNNNNNNNNNNNNNNNNAUUACUAUCUUGACUUUCCCAAUACCAAUACACAACCCACACCAUGUCUACAGAUCUUCUAAUAAAUACAAAAGAGAACAAUGAUAGUGCCGGAAACAAGGCUCCGACUAUAACUCAAAACAUAAUACAUACAGAACAAAAGAUGCACGACCCCGAAAUGAAGUGGUGCUCACCAAGUCAACUGGGAAGAGAGUGUACCGCUAUCACUGGUCAAUGCCUUCCGUUGUGGAACCACCUGCAUCCAUUAAAGAUGCAGCGCCAUCGAAAAAAUGGACGUUAAUACAUAUCGAAUAGUACUAGUAUGAAAACCAAACACCUAUGCAAGGACUUGAAAAUACAACAUGAAUAUGAUGAAUCAUGGUAACAAUAAAAGGCUUAGAUAGCCGUUAAAUAUAUAGCAAGUUUAUUAAGAGCUUUCAAUAACAUUUAUAAUUUUUUUUAAGUCGGGGAUCCUCUGCAACUACCUUUACACAAAGCGGCACAGCCGCCUCACCCCAAUGUAUGCGGGUGGAGGUGCAAUCACAAUACCAUAAACUCUACACAAAGAAGCCAUGUCUCCUCACCCCAAUGUAUGCGGGUGGAGGUGUAUUCACAAUACCACAAACUCUACACAAAGAAGCCUUGCCGCCUCACCCCAAUGUAUGCGGGUGGAGGUGUAUUCAUAAUACCACAACUCUACACAAAGCGGCCCUGCCGCCUAACCCCAAUGUAUGCGGGUGGAGGUGUAUUCACAAUACCACAACUCGACACAAAGUGGCCCCACCGCCUCACCCCAAUGUAUACGGGUGGAGGUUUAUUCAUAAUGCCAUACUUCGGAUUCCCAAAACGAUAAUAGUUUGUACAACAGAGUUCCCUUUCAAAUCAACCAUUUGUCACCUUUGGCCUUAGCAUGUGUGAGUUCAUAAGGUUUCAUCAUAUGAGAAAUAAGUGUUUAAUCACAUUGAUUUCAUACAAGAUCUUCUUCCCUAAAGGGGUAUAACAUAAUUAAGUCAAAAUAGAGAAUCAUUAACACACGAGGGUUCUAACACGUUAUGCCAAUCGGGAAUCAAUUUUACUAGUUUGAAUACCCCACAUCAAUAGCGUUCCAUGUUUGAACUUCACACGAAGGAGUUUUGUAAGAACACGGGAAUUCCAAUACCAAAAAAAAAGAGUUUAGCCUUCAUACCUCGAAAGAGCUUUUCAUAGUGCCACAAUAAUGUCCCAACACUCCUAAUGAUGCCAAUCUAUCAAGGAGGAGAGAAUUAUAAGCACGAUUAGAGGAAUUCACAUGGCAAGGGCUGUUACAACUAUGACCCGACCUUUCCCUCAGCUAAUUCAAUAACAAAACCACCCAAGAUUGUUCAAAAACUUCCCCGCAGUCUCUAUUAGCUCAUAUAUGUGAUAAAACCUACCCUCAUUACCCACAAUCAACCCAAACCUGAAUUUGAAGAAUUGGGGGAAGAAAUACUUACUUUUUUGAAGCCCUAGCAAGUUCCUUUUGAUGGAAUUCCAAGGUUUGAUCAAUGUAGAGUAGUGAAAUCUAUAGUCCUCUCUUUCCUCUCUCUAGAAUAGCUCUCUCCUCUCUCUAAAAUGUUAGUUAAUCCCCUAAAAAUGAACCCUUAGGCUAGAUAAAUGAAAUGGGGGUCAGUUUAUAAAAUUGGAAAAAUGGAGCCCCAACGCAGAUCUUCGAUUGCAUAUGCGACCGCAUAACACUUCUGCGGUCCGCAAAAUGGACUGCAUAAUGGCCCUCUAGAACUGGGUGUUUCUGCUACACUCUGUGAUAGGUCUGCAGUCCGUAGACCAAUUAUGGGGUCUCAUAAUGGACCACAGAACCUCCUUUCGAAAUUUCUCAUGCUGGAUCUGCGAUUGGAUCUGCGGCGCGCAAAACGAUUCUGCGGCCGCAUAAUGGGUCGUAUAAUGGUCCUCAAAAUUGGUAAAUCUAUCUGCUUCUAUCAGUGGCCAAUCUGCAGUCCGCAAACUUGUUCUGCGGUCGUAUAGUGGACUGCAUAAUUGCCAUGUUCUGCAAACUUUUUCCUUUAACUCCUCGACGCACUGAGCAACCCCAAAAGUCAAUUCUUCAUUAACCUCAAUUGUAUCAACCAGAACAAUGAGCGACAGAUCUCCAACCACCUUCUUCAACAUGGAUACAUGGAACACAGGGUGCACUAAAGACAUCUCUGGAGGUAGUUCAAUGUUGUACGCCACCCGACCAAUCCUCUAAAUGAUUCUGUAUGGUCCAACAUAUCUCAGACUCAACUUCCCUUUCUUACCAAACCGCAUUAUGCCCUUCAUGGGGGAAACCUUCAACAAUACCCAAUCAUCCUCUUUGAACUCCAAAUACCUGCGACGCACAUCCGAAUAGGACUUUUGAUGACUUUGAGCAGUUUCUAAUCGAUCCUUAAUGAUCUUAACCUUCUCCAUAGCCUGAUGCACGAGGUCUGGUCCUAUCAAUACCGCUUCCUCAAUCUCGUGCAAUACCACUCUUUCUCACCAAGCACAUGUACAAAAAUACCAAGAAAGGUAGAAAGCAUAUAGCUAACAUCAAACUCUCGAGUCCGCCAUUUCUUCAUACUCCAAAAGCAGACGAGCAACUCUACUUCUACUUAGCAGUCCCGGAAAUCGCGGUAAGUGGAGUCCUAGAUCGAGAUGAGCAAGGUACGCAAUUUCCUAUUUACUAUGUUAGUCGAACUCUAGGUGAGGCCGAGACCCGGUACCCACACUUAGAAAAUUUGGCGCUUUCCAUAAUAAGAGCCUCUAGGAAAUUAAAACCACAUUUUCAAUGUCACCCAAUUUGUGUAGUGACCACUUAUCCUCUUCACAAUAUUUUGCAUAAGCCCGAACUCUCGGGCCGAUGGCCAAAUGGGCCAUCGAAAUCUAUGGGUACGAUAUCGAGUAUCAACCCCGAACGGCCAUCAAGUCUCAAAUCUUAGUAGACUUCAUGGCCGACUUUACGCCAGCCCUCGUACCUGAGGUCGAAAAAGAACUAUUAUUAAAAUCGGGUACAACAUCAGGGGUGUGGACCCUAUUCACAGACCGCGCUUCAAAUGUGAAGGGGUCUGGGCUAGGCAUCGUUUUGAAAUUGCCCACGGGUAAUACAAUUAGACAGUCUAUCAAAACUUCCAAGUUAACUAACAAUGAAGCCGAGUAUGAGUCCAUGAUUGCAGGUCUCGAGCUAGCUAAGAGUUUGGGAGAAGAGGUUAUCGAAGCCAAAUGUGACUCCUUACAUGUGUUAAACCAAGUCAACGGAACCUUUGAGGUUCGGGAUGAUCGAAUGCAGAGAUACCUGGAUAAAUUACAGGUGACAUUACAUCAGUUUCAAGAAUGGACCCUACAACAUGUACCUCGAGAGCAAAACAACAAAGCCAAUGCCCUUGCAAAUUUGGGGUCAUCGAUUGAAGAUGACGAAAUUAGCACGGGGACUAUCGUGCAACUUUCGAGGUCAGUGAUCGAAGAAGGCCACGCCAAAAUAAACUCCACAAGUCUGACCUGGGAUUAGAGGAAUAAAAAUAUCGAGUACCAAAAGAACGGAAAGCUUCCGUCGGAUCCUAAGGAAUCAAGGACUCUACGUAUGAAGGCCACACGAUUCACAUUGGCCGAAGAUGGAACACUAUAUAGAAGGAUGUUCGACGGACCAUUGGCAAUACGUUUGGGUCCCGAAGACACCGACUACGUCCUACGGGAAAUUAACGCGGGAACUUGCGGAAAUCAUUCUGGUGCCGAAUCAUUGGUUCACAAAAUCAUCAUAGCAGAAUAUUACUGGGCCAAUAUGGAAAAAGAUACGAAGGAAUUCGUUUGAAAGUGCGACAAGUGUCAAAGAUAUGCGCCAAUGAUCCACCAACCCGAGGAGCAACUCCAUUCGGUCCUAUCCCCAUGGCCAUUCAUGAAAUAGGGAAUGGAUAUCGUUGGCCCUCUACCAUUGGCCCCAGGUAAAGCUAAAUUCAUUUUAUUUAUGACUGAGUAUUUCUCUAAAUAGGUUGAAGCAUAGGCCUUUGACAAAGUCAGGGAAAAAGAGGUUAUCGACUUCAUUUGGGACAACAUUAUAUGUCGAUUCGGGAUACCUACCGAGAUCGUAUGCGACAAUGGAAAACAAUUCAUCGGCAGUAAAGUAACAAAGUUUCUUGAAGACCACAAAAUCAAAAGGAUCUUGUCAAUGCCAUAUCACCCCAGCGGGAACGGACAUGCAGAGUCAACGAACAAAACCAUCAUUCAAAAUCUAAAGAAAAGGUUGAAUGAUGCAAAGGGAAAAUGGAGAGAAAUGUUGCCCGAGGUCCUUUGGGUGUAUCGAACAACGUCAAAAUCCAGAAUGGGGUAAACACCGUUCUUUUUAGUAUAUGGCGCCGAAGCUCUAAUCUCGGUCGAAGUCGGGGAACCUAGCGUCAGGUUUCGAUAUGCAACGGAAAAGUCGAAUCACGAGGCUAUGAAUACAAGUCUUGAAUUGCUAGAUGAAAAACUGGAAAGCGCCCUCGUUCGAAUGGCCGCACAAAAGCAACGGAUCGAAAGGUACUACAACCGAAGAGCUAAUUUUCGACAUUUUAUAACAGGGGACUUAGUAUUGAGAAAAGUCACCCUCAAUACCCAAAUUGGGAGGGACCGUAUCAGAUCCUCGAUAUCGUCAGAAAGGGAUCUUACAAACUCGGCACGAUGAACGACGAACAGUUGUCAAAUAAUUGGAACGUGUCACUCCUCAAACGAUAUUACUGCUAAGGUACAACCUUCUCCAUUUUUAUUUAUAUUUUAUACUAACCGUUUGCAGGUGUGUAAUCGAAAACAUCAAGGGAUCCUUCAAACGCAGUCCUUGGGUCUGAAAGCACCCGUUGCACUCUUUUUCCCUUAGACCGGUUUUAAUCCCAAAUGGGUUUUUUCGGCGAAGUUUUUAACGAGGCAACCAUUGUUCGUGCUAACUUAGAGCAAUUCAACAGUAUCUGAGGCUCCUUUACAAUCAACCUCGAAUACUAGGGGGCAUCACCCUCGGAUAGUUACAAGGAAAAUACUUCGUGUCGACAGGGUCUCGAUAGCUAAAUUUUGUAGAGGACCAAACGGUAAGAUGAACCAUGUCUGUGUAGAUUACUCGAGCCCUAAUGGCAAAACAUGUACGCAUGUAUAAUUUAUUGGAAGAAGUAUUUUCCCUUUCCAGAUGCCCCAUGUUUUAAAAUUUAUAAUUUGCAAUCUCAUACUUAUGAUCUAUGGUGGAAACUGGCUUAAGGGCCGAUCACAACUGAAGUUCAAACAAUUUGUCCGAUACUCGGGGACUGCCGUCCAAAAAACCAACACGAUCGAAUUACUAAACCUCGAGAUCGUAAGACCUUAAAAAGGCAAUCCUCGAAUUUAUGGGCCACGUCCACCCCACUCGGGGACUGAUACUUCGAACAAGUUUGAAGUAUAAUAGGGGAGCAAGCCCAAAAGGCGAAUCCCAAGUUAAAGGCUAUGGCCAAAUCAACACGGUUCAGAGACGUCCGAUUUUUGUUAUUAAAUAGGCCUUUGAAUAUUUUCAUAAAUCGGUUAAAAAAGGCUACCCUUGGCUAAAUUUCUAAGGGUCUCGAUAAUAUCGACCAUCGAAAACCCUAAUGGAUACAAAGGCGUUCGAACUCUCGAAUAAAUUCUUUAUUUUAUGUUAAGGCACUGCGAAAUAAAGGGUCUCGAUAAUAUCGACCAUUGAAAUUCCUAAUGGGUACGGAACCGUUCGAACUCUCAAACAAAUCCUUUAUUUUGUGUUAAGGUACAACAGAAUUUAUAUGAUUAAACGAUAAACUUAUCAAGCCGAAAAGGGGGAGAGAGCCACUUUUUUUCUAUGGCCGUGUUGGCCUAGUUUAAGAGCCUAAAAGGCCAGUUUAUUUUUGAGUUUGAAGAAAUCAUCCUCACUCAAUUAAAACCUAAGGGUCACCCUAUUCCGAGUUCGAGCAAGUACUCACUCGAUUAUAAAAACUACACUAGUCUGGUUUCGAUCAAAAUGCCUAAGCCUCAAACUUAUGAACAAAACUUUCACAAGGCAUAAAAGAAAUAAAGACAAGUCAGAAAGGAAAGAGAUAAUUAUAUAUAUAUGAAUAUUUACAAGGUCCGAUCGGGAUCCUAUACAAAAAAGAUCAAAAGUGAAAAAUCUUAAGGUUCCUGAUCUCCUCCGGGGGCAGCUUCUUCUACAUCGAGGUCCUCCCCAUUCUCGGACCCGCUCUUGCUACCAUCAUCAUCAUCGUCAUCGGAAGUGGCCAGCAAUCCAGCUUCGGCUUCAUGCUCUCUACCUUUGCUAUCUCAUUGGUAAGAUCGAAAUCCCGAGCGUGAAUUUCCUCGAGGGUUUCCUCCGAGAUUGGCAUUUGGUGAGUUCAGCAAUCCAAUAUGCUCGAGUUUGUGCGGACUCGGAUGCCUCUCUCGCCUGGACUUGAGCGACUUCAGUAUCCGCCCGAUAGACGACCACGAUCGCAUCCGCCUUGGCUUUUGCUUUUUCGGCUUCAGAUUUGGCCUUGGCAAGUUUAGAAGCCAACCGAGCCUCGAGCUCCUCUAUUUUCCUGGCUUGAGUCAAGCUCCUAUCUUUCAUGCCUUGAAGUUGACUUUCGACCUAUGAUAAUUGGGCUCGAUUAGUCUCUUUUUCUGCAGCAAAGUGGUCCAUACCUUUCUUCCACCCCAAGGACUCUGCCUUUAUUGUGUCGACCUCCUCACAGAACUGCUCGAUCCUCUCGAUUUUCUGUUGCAUCUGUGAGAUUCAAAAUAUUAGCCACCGUUCCCGAGUCGAGCCCAUGAGCUUUUAAGCUUUUCAUUACCUGCUCGAUCAGAUCUAUCUGAUCUUGGUGAGCCUUGGCCAACUCGGCUUGAAGAUCUCUGAUCUCUUCCUCUUUCUGACCACUAAGAAGUUUGAGGGCAUUUCUCUCAUCCGAAAGCCCUCGGAAGUCAGCUUCACAUCGGCUCAGCUCCGCUCGAGACUUGGAAAAUGCCUCCUGAUGUAGAGCUAAAGCCUAUAUAAAAAGAGAAAAAGUUAGGCAGAAAAUGGAAGAAUAUGACAUCAACAAAGGGAAUCAAGACUUACCCGAUUCAGGGCUCGUUGAGCCUCGAAGAAAUGACCCGAUGCGUCACUCGGGCCGGCAGCAUCCUCGAUACUUGUAAAUAAAUCACGGAAGGGGUCCUCUCCCUCAUGAGCUCCAUCCACCUCGAGGGUCCCCAAAUAUCGGGCUUCCCGAAUCGCCCUUUCUGAAAAAACAAGGAGAGUGGGUGAGUCUCCGAUUACUAUUACCCCAAGGGAGUCACUUGGGGCGUUCUCCUCAGUUCGAAGAGCUUCAGGGUCGGUCCCUUCAGAUAUACCCAUUGUUUUUCAUUUCAGUGGGAGACAUCCUCGAUCUCCAAUGUCUCAGGGACUUUUCCCGAGUCCUUCUCGGAUAUCCCCUUAGUUCGAGGCGGAGCCUCAUCAAUCACUAUAGAUCCAGUUGUCUUUGGGGCAUCGAUGGUUUUCUUUACUCGAGCCACCAGUAUGGAGUUGUCGUCAUUUUCUUCUUCUUCGUCUUCAUCCCUCAGACGCCGAAUAGAUUCUUUCGUCAGAGGGAUGGUGUUCUUCCUCGGCUUACGAGCCGUCUUUGUCUUAAGUUCUGGAUCUUCGGAAGCCGAGGCCCUUUUUCUCUUGUUGUCUUUUGCUAGUUUCGGAACCGGGGCCGAGGUCUCUUCCUCGCCAGAUGGCGGCCUCAUGACCGCAUCUUUGUCCAGGCCUACACACAGGAAAAUUGGUUAAGUUUAAGAAAGACAUUUUGAUCGAAUCAUCAAGAACAUAGGAAAGGGGCUUACCAUGAGUUUUGGCCUCCCAUCGGUCCUUUGAUAAAUCGUGCGUUGAGCUCUCAGCGUACGAAGAGGUCGAGGCCAGGUCCCGAACUCAGCUCUUGAGGUUAGGAAUUGCACCGGGCAUCCAAGAAACCACUACAUCACGGAAAAGGAUAUCGAUGAGAAGAAGCAAAGGGCCAAAACAAUAAAUAAGAAUUAACAGUGGAAUUAUACUUACGCUUCAUAUUCCAUUUCUCUGGAAAUGGCAUCUUCUCGGCCGGGAUUACGUUGGAAGUCCUCAUUCGAACAAACCGGCCCAUCCGGCCUCGGUCCUUGUCCUCAUCUAUGCUCGAGAAUAGCACUUUGGUGGCCCGUGACUUUUGCUCACAAAGAACAGAGCAGAAUAACAAUUCUCCAAAAAGAAGGGUGGAUUUGGCCUAGAGUUAUGUGGUACUGACGACAAAAAUCGAUGACGACGGGGUCGAGGGGGCCCAGCAUGAAAGGGUAGGUAUAAACACUUAAAAACCCUUCCACAUGGGUGGUAAUGUCUUCUUCCGGGGUCGGUAUCACCACUUCUUUGCCUUUCCAGUUGCAGUUUUUCCUUAACUGCUUAAGGUACCCUUCAGUUAUCGAGCAUAUGUACUUCGUCAUUGGCUCGCAUCGACCAGGAAUCGAUGAGGCUUUAUCAGUUUUGAAGUCAGAAGUAAUAACACACCCCCCGGGAACACACUCUUUAUGUCGUGGCUCCACCGUUGUUUUGUUGCCGGCCGGCCACGAUGAAGAAGCAUUUUCCUUUUGAGGAACAGUCUUUGAUGUUUUUGCCAUUUUUGUAUGGAUUUGAAGUUAAAAAUAGAUGAAGAUGAUAAUUUGGUGUUUUGAGAAGAUGGUAGCAGUGAAAAUCGUAGAUGUGCAUAUGAAGAGGUUAGAAGAUAUAAAAAGCUUUGAAGAUUAAGAAUCUAAAAGUAAAUGUUCGAAAUAGUGGAGAGAGGGGCUAUUUAUAAAUUUCACAACGACGGUUCAAUAUUGGCGGUGGCCGACCACUGACUGACGUUUAUUUAAUGCCUAGGAAACUAUAUAGACGGGACGUUUCAGUCACUUCUGUCGCUUAUGUCAUAAGGAUGACGUCCCGAUAGGUCGGGGUAGAAAAUCGAAGGCUCAAUUCAUUUCUUGUCAUUACACUCCAAAAUAACGAGGGGACUAUCUGUUCACGCUUAAAACCGAGCCCACCCAAUUUUACUGUUUGACCGAGACCGGGAGUUUGCAUCGAAGGACGACUCCAAAGUAGAUCGGAUCGAGGCAAGAAUACAAGGUACCAAGAUCGGGAUUCGAGGCACCUUCCAAGAUCGAGCCUACAACAAUCAAGACCGAACGAGAUAAGCGAGAUAUCCGUGACUGGUCGAAGAUCAUGGCAAAAAUCUCGGAACAGAUCAAAUCAAAAAUGGUUGUUUAGUUAAUCAUGGGAUUUACUUCUGUAAUUAGAAUUGUACCAUAUAUAGAAUUCCUCUACUAUAUAAAGGGGAGUUCUAACCAUUUGUAGGCACAACUGAUAACAAAGCAAUAUAAUUUUCUUCCUCGCUCACACUCUUGUUCUUCAAUCGGUAUUAAGUGAAAUCACGUGUCCUUAAAUCCACAUUAUAAGUUUAAUUGUUAUCCAAUUUCGAGGGUAAACAGAUCUUUAUCAUUGUUAGUUGGCCAAUUUGAUGAAGUUAACAACAUAAUUGAAUAUGCAAAGUAAGUGUUCACCAGAAGAGAACAUGUAAGCAUCAAAUGUGCGAAGGAGUUUUUAUUAAUUUAAAGUGUUGUUUCAAAGGGAACACCAAGUAAAAAUCAUGGUACAACUUUUGGCAAAAUGAGAUAUUUCAAUUGAAUGAAAGUAAAAUCCCUUAAAAUAUAAUUUAAGGAGGCAUGGAUAAAUAAAUCCACAAAAUCGUUUACAAGAAGAAAGGCGCAAAUUCUUCCCUUGUUGAUACUUCAAGCCUUGUCAUUAUAUUGACACUCUGACAAGUCUUGAAGUAGGGGCAUUUGUAGACAUGUAAAAUUUAUUUUAUUCAAAUUAAAUAAAUAAUUUAGUUUAUAUUUAACAUAUACUAGUCCAAAUAAAUUAUAGGCUAAUAUAAUUAGAUUAAUUAUUUAAAUCCAAUAAAUAUUGACUUGGAUAGCCCAUUUGAUUGGGCUACAAGUGAUGAGCCCAUUUAAUUGGGCUACAAGAGAUGAGCCCACUUAAUUAGGCCCAAGAUGUCAGCUUCCUAAAGGCCCAAUUUGAUGCCAUGUGUCAAAUGAAUGUGACACGCCAAGUCAAAUAGAAAAGCCAAUAGGAUCUUGCCACGUGUCAAAAUGAUAAGGCAUGCCAAAUUAAAUUAUAAGGCCAAUGAAACCGUGCCACAGAUGCAAGUGUAAUGACCCGGCCAGUUGUUUUGAGUAUUUUAGCCUUGAUCCCCUAUUUAUUGCCUCCUCUAUGUUGUAUUAUGGUUAUGUGACUUUUCGGGGGUGUUUGAUUUAGGUUUGGGGGAGUUACGGAGUGAAAUGGGACACAUAGUCCCUAAGUCAGUGCUUAAGUUGAAAGAGUUGACCGUAGUUUUACUUUUGUGUAGAUGACUCCAGAAUGGAGUUUUAAUGGUUCCAAUAGCUGCAUAUGGUGAUUUUGGACUUAGGAACAUGUCGAAAUAUUGAUUUGGAGGUCCGUAGGUCAUUUCGUCUUGAAUUGGCAAAAAUUAGAAAAUUCAAGGUUUGGAAGGUUAAGAAGUUUGACCGAGAGUUGAUUUCAUUGAUAUCAAGGUCAAAUUCUGAUUCCAAAAGUUGUAAUAGGUAUGUCAUGUCAUUUAUGACUUGUGUGCAAAAUUUGAGGUCGAUCGGAGUUAUUUUGGUAUGAACCGACAUUAGUUUUGGAAUUCAGAUGUUCAUAGUCUCAAUAGGCGUGAAUUGGGUUGCGAUUCAUUGAAUUGAUGUUGUUUGAUGUGAUUUUUUGCCUCGAAUAGCUCCAUUAUGUGUACUAGAACUUGUUGGUAUAUUCGAUGGGGGUCCCGGGAGCCCCGGGUGUGAUUCAGAUUGAAUCCGGAACAAAUAUUGACUUGUGUGAUUACUAAAGCAUGGUUGUGUCUGGUGCAUUCAUACCUGCGCACUUUGGGCCGAAGGUAUGACACCGUAGAAGCGGCUCUCGUAGCGCAGAAGCGAGAUUUGGCUUGUCAGCUGUGACCACAUGUUGUGUCGUUAAUUCGCAUAAGCGGACCCGCUGCUUCGGGGAAUGCAUCGCCGAAGCGGAAUGGGCUAGCCAGCCCUAGGGUCGCAAAAUUGGACCCUCCGCAGGUGCGCUUAGGGGUCCGUAGGUGCAAGUCUUCAGAGAUUAAGGUGGAACCGCACCUACGAUGGAUUUUCCGUAGGUGCAGCGUCGCAGGUGCGACCUCAUGCCCGGAGACGUGAGGAUCACUGGGCAGAAAAGGGGCCUUCGAUGGUUUGAUCUCAUUUUCCAUUUUUGGACUUAGAGAGCUCGGUUUGUGGUGAUAUUUUGAGAGCUUUUCCAGGAAAUCAUCGGGGUAAGAGAUUCUAACUUGGUUUAGGCUAUAUUACACGAAUUCAUUGUUAUUUUUGUCAUUUAAUUAGUGAUUUGAGUUGGAAAUUUGGGAAAACAUUGUGAAAACUUCUUAGACUAAAUUUUGGGAAUAUGAAAAGCGAUUUGAAGUCGGAUUUAAGUAAUUCUUAUGUGGUUGGACUCGUUAUCGAAUGGGUAUUCGGAUUUUGUAAUUUUGGCCAGGUUCCGAGACGCGGGUCCAGGGUUGACUUUUUGACUUGACUCUUUGUUUCUCUUUAAUGAUCGUAACUUUAUUGAUCGGAAUAGUUUCCUAUAGUUUAUAUUUAUGGUAUGAAGUUGUUUUGGCUAGAUUCGAGUCGUUCGGAGUUGGAUAAUCGAGGGAAAGACUUACUAGUGGAUGUAGUAGCAUAUGUUGUGGUAAGUGUCUUACCUAACUUUGUGUGGGUAAAUUACCCCUUAGGAUUGGUGUUGUUUUGUGUUAAUUGUGAUAUGUGAAAGCCGUGUACGCAAGGUGACGAGUGUGUACACGGGCUAAAUGUGGUAAUUUAUCGGUUCUAGCUAUGUAGAUUCUCUUCAUGCCUUUAAUUAAGUUACCAUAAUAUGUUAUAUUCAUCAUCUUUAGUCUAUCUUCACAUACUUUACUUGUCUUACCUCUUACUUGUUAAUUGCCUUUACAUGCCUAGUUGAAAUUAUUGUUUCCUCUAUUCCUUAUUCAUUAUUUAAUCAUUGAGUUCCUUACUUGAAGUUGUUAAUUCUUGGAAUUUCUUGUUGUUGAAAUUGGUAUUGGGCUAUAAAGGCCGUGAUUCACAUUGAGGCAAAGUUGUUAAGUUGUGAAAUAAUAUUCUUGUUGAGUUAUUCAUUUCCGAUUGUUAUUGUUGAGACUUUUGUGCAUAUUGUGGUUGAGCCCUGGGCUCUUUAAUGUGGAAACACCAUUGUUGUUGACUUCUUUGGCAAGUUGUGAUAUUGGGCACUUGAGGUGCGAUUUGUCAUACAUUGUGAUAUUGAUACGCAUGCGGCGGUAUAACGUUUGGGGUUGAAACGCAUGCGGUGAGAUAAGGUGGGCUUGAUACGCGUGUUGCUAGUAGGGGAAGUACUUGAAGCCACGCGGUAUGAUAAGGUGGGCUAAUACGCGGGAAGCUAUUUCGGGAAAAUGAUUUUCAAAACUAAAUGCAAGUCUCCCACGGUGAUAUAUGGAUAGAUUGUGAAUUGUUUUGUAAAAUGUGACUACGAGGUGGUACCUCAAUAGUGAUUUUUGUUGAUACUUUUCUAUUACUUCACUUGUGUUUUGGUUGCUUUGUUUACUUGGCAUAUCAUUCUUUGUUUUCUUCCGUGAUGCAUUAUUUGCCUUAGUUCAGUGUAACUAAUCUUGGUAUAUUUCUUUAUUGCUUCAUUUCCAUUGUUAUCAUUAUUACACUAUUAUAUAUACCUGUUCAGUUUCUUAUUUAUUCCAGUGGGGCCUUGAUCUGACCUCGUCACUACUCUACCGAGGUUAGGCUUGGCACUUAUUAGGUACCAUUGUUGUGUACUCAUUCUAUGCUUCUACACAUCAUUUUUUUGCAGAUACAGGUACUUCCUACUAGCCCAGGCACAAGUCAGACAAGCUCAGCUUCGGAGAGUCCGCAGGCCUCAGAGUCACCCUCUAUCUAGUUUACUUCAUUUUCUUUCCCUUUCAUAGACACUGUUGUAUAGGGAUGAUCAGUAUUUAUUCGUAGAGCUUGUGACUUGUUAUCACCAGAUUUUGGGAAGUUUUGUUAUGCUGAGUUGAGAAGUUUCUUUUAUGAUAGUUGUUGAGAAUUUGAGAG
rnacentral:lncRNA from 1 species